GCCAUCUAUGGGGUCACACAGAGUAGGACACGACUGAAGUGACUUAGCAAAUACUAUCUUAUCUAUGUCACCUACAUCAGCAUCUACAUCUCAAGAGAGAUCUUUAUUGCAACCUUGUUAAUAGAAAAAGAAUGGAACCAGCUCUAAUACCUAUGGGUAGGAGAAUGGUUAAAUAAAGAUACAUCUCCACAGUGAAGUAUGAUACAGAUGCUAACAAGAAUGAUAAAGAUUUUGAACUGACAUGGGAAGGUGUCUAGAACUGAUAAGUGAGAAAAGCUGACUCUAGGACUGUACGUAGUUUGGUAUUCCCUCUGUGGAAAGAGUAUGUAUUUAUUAGUGUAUGUCAGUGGUUCUUUGUGGUCAUCUCCAAGGGAGAGAGAAAGUGGAAGCUGAGAGAGAGGCAGAGGAACUUAUGCUGUAUAAGUUAUACAUUUCAGCAUCAUUUGAAAUCUUGCAACAAGCUGACUUUAUGUGGGUAAUCGGCAGCAGCAAUAAUGAUAAAAUGCUUGCCAUACAGCGCUGUUAAAGAUGGGGGUCCACUAUCCUGAGGCCAAGCACUGCUAGACUGUUAGAAUUGCAAAGCAAUUGGAAAUCAUUGCCCUAAGCACACUGAAUGGGUCUGGCUCAGUGACUGUUAACAAAUAGUGUUCCCCUUAGAACAAGACUGCCCCGACUACUAGAUAAUAUCCUUAAAGAGUUGUGUUUGUAGCAGACAGAAGGUAUAUUCUAUACCAGGUCCUGUUUAAGGUUAAUGUGAUCCUGCCACCGUGUUUGCAGUUUACAGCCUGUGCCUGACUGUGUCUGUCUUUGCAGAGCUCAUAACAGAGCUCCAGGACUUUGUGGAUUCACUGGGAUAACUUUACUUGCACACGCUGGGUGGAGGCACAUAUCCCCUUGCCACUUGCCAUCUCUUUGUUCAUCAAAUCACUUUUAUUCCUUGCUUAUUUCCUCUUUUUUUUUCUCUCCUCCUUUCAGCAAAUCUUUCCCUAGUCUAUGCCAUGCACUGUUCUGGACACACUGGGAAAUGAAACAACAGAUUUAUCAGAAUUGCUGCUUCAAGGAGAGAGCUCAUGGUCUGCCAGAAAAAGUGACCAUAAAAGCAGUGAAUGAUAACAUCUAACAAGGAAGGGAGCUUAAAGCCAGAUUUGAUUAGAUGGCCCCAGGGGGCAGUCUUGACUCUGCUCUAUACAUGUGACCUUGGCAAGUUACUUAGCCUCUCUAAAGCUGUUUCAGUUCAGUUCAUUCGCUCAGUUGUGUCUGACUCUUUGUGACCCCAUG
rnacentral:lncRNA from 1 species